GGUCAGUGAUGAGUGUUGGCAUGUAUUAUCUGAGCUGGAGCUGAUGUCUCACCACGUUAGCUCUAGAAUUACUCUGAGACCCA
rnacentral:snoRNA from 1 species